rnacentral:lncRNA from 1 species
UAUAUAGAGUAGGGCUACUAUACUCUUAUAAGUAUAGAGCCCUUCGUACUCAUAAGUUGUUUUCAAAAUCAUUAUGAGUAUGAAGGGCUAUGAAAAAUUUCGUAAUUACGAAAAUUACGAAAACAACUUAUGAGUACGGAAAAAUUACGAAAUUUAUUUUGAAACUUCUAGAAAAUAAAUUUCGUAAUUUUUCGUAAUUUUUGAAAAAUCUAGAGUAUUUGAAACUAUGAAAAAUAAACAUGAUCUAGAUAUGAAAAAUUAUCGAAAACAACUUAUGAGUACGAAUAUUACAGCUAAUAUAUCUAGAGUAUUUGAAACUUCUAGAAAAUAAAUUUCGUAAUUUUUCAAAAUCAUUAUAAAGUCCAUCAAGCGGGUAUAAAAUGAACGGUUAAAAUCGAAUGACAUCCUAAAAAUGGAUGAUCGGAUCCUUCAAUUUAAGAUCGGAGUUAUUGAUCUUUAUUUAGGUAGUGAAUAGAAUUUUCUAUCAAAGAUUCAACCUAUUCCGAUUCUUUUUCACCGUUAAACUAGCAAAUAUCUCAUACCAGCCGUUAAAAAUUGUCAAUUUUGUGAGCUUUUAAUCGUAAGGUAAAUGAUAUCGAAAAAUUAUAAAAUUUGAUUUCUAGAAGUUUUAAAUGCUUUAGAUAAUGUUUAACGGUAUAGAUCGUCGAGUCGGAAGCUCUAUCAUCGAAAACAACUUAUGAGUAAGAAGCCGAUCGUACUCAUAAGAGUAUAGUAGCCGAACUAUAUAUAUAUAUAUAUAUAUAUAUAUAUAUAUAUAUAUAUAUAUAUAUAUAUAUAGAACUAGGCUGAUAUACUAUCGGUAGCACGGAGGCAUCCGUGCUAUCAAGUUGUUUUCAACGAUACGGCUUCCAAAUUGACGAUCGGCCCUGUUAGACUUAAUUUACACUAUUGAAAGUAUUUGGAAACUAAAUUUCAUAAUUUUUCGGCAUCAUUUACCUAUCAAACGAGUAGUCAAAAAAUGAACGGUUGAAAAUAAAAAUCUCAUAAAAAAUAAUGAUAAAAGACUUGAAUUUAAAAUCAGAGGUAUUGAUCUUACUCUAAAUAGUGAAAAGAAUUUUCUAUAAAAAUUUUAUCAGAUUUGGAUUGCUUUACACCGUUAAAUUCACAAAUGCAUAACAUCUACCAUUAAUUAUCAAUUUUGAGACCUUUUGAUCACUAGCCAAAUAAUGUUGAAAAAUUAUGAAAUUUCUUUUUCAAAUAUUUUUAAUAGUGUAGAUCAAGUUUAACGGGGCCGAUCAUCGAUUUGGAAGUCGCAUCAUUAAAAACAACUUAGUAGCACGAAAGCCUCCGUGGUAUUGAUAGUAUACCACCCUAUAUAUAUAUUGCAGGACUGCUAUGCUCUUACGAGAGCACGGAGAUCUCCGUGCUUCUGAGUCGUUUUUGAUGAUGGGACUUCCGAAUUGACGAUCGGCUCCAUUGGACUUGAUUUAGUAUAUUUGAAGUUUCUAGAAAAUAAUUUUUGCGAUUUUCUAAUAUCAUUUACCUAGCAAUCAAAAGGAUUUAACAUUGACGACUAAAAAUAAAAUCCUAUAAAAGACGGUGAUAUAGCAUUAAAAAUUUCGAUCAGAAAUAUUGAUCUUGUUGUAAAUAGUAUAAAGAAUUUUCUAUCAAAAUUUCAUAUGAUUUGAAUACUUCUACAUCGUUAAACUUGCAAACGGUAUAUAUCAACCAUUAAAUAUUGUUAAUUUUAAACCCCUUUGAUUGCUAGGUAAAUAAUAUCAAAAAAUCGCAAAAAAUAUUUUCUAGAAAUUUUAAAUACACUAGAUCAAGUUUAGCGGAGCCGAUCGUCGAUUCGGAAAUUCUACCAUCGAAAACGGCUCAGGAGUAUGGAGGCCUCCGCGCUCCUAAAAGCAAAGCAGUCCUGCUCUAUAUAUAUAUAUAUAUAUAUAUAUAUAUAUAUAUAUAUAUAUAUAUAUAGAGAGAGAGAGAGAGAGAGAGAGAGAGAGAGGAGAGAGANCUCUCUCUCUCUCUCUCUCUCUCUCUAUAUAUAUAUAUAUAUAUAUAUAUAUAUAUAUUGCAGGACUGCUAUGCUCUUAGGAGCACGGAGGUCUCCGUGCUUCUGAGUCGUUUUUGAUGGUGGGACUUUCGAAUUGACGAUCGGCUCCAUUGGACUUGAUUUAGUAUAUUUGAAGUUUCUAGAAAAUAAUUUUUGCGAUUUUCUAAUAUCAUUACCUAGCAAUCAAAAGGAUUUAACAUUGACGACUAAAAAUAAAAUCCUAUAAAAGACGGUGAUAUAGCAUUAAAAUUUUUUAUCAGAAAUAUUAAUCUUGUUGUAAAUAGUAUAAAGAAUUUUCUAUCAAAAUUUCAUAUGACUUGAAUACUUCUAUAUCGUUAAACUUGCAAAUGGUAUACAUCAACCAUUAAAUAUUGUUAAUUUUAAACCCCUUUGAUCGCUAGGUAAAUAAUAUCAAAAAAUCGCAAAAAAUAUUUUCUAGAAAUUUCAAAUACGCUAGAUCAAGUCUA